AAAAAAAAAAGAGAGAGAGAGAGAGAUUACAAAGACCCUGUAUGGUCAGGCCUCUCAAGAUGGUUUGUCUUUUGUUCUCUGUACAACAACAGCCUGACCAAUACCUGCUUCACCUGUACCCUAUGCACAUGUAUGACCUUCCCAGGUACUUGCCCCAGGCCCCAGCUGGCGAUUGUUCUUAUCUAAGGGGCAGUGAGAAGCGUGCCCUUUGCUGGUUUCCCUGGUAACUAAGGGCCCACCUGUUGUCAGUGUUUCCUAUAACUAGCAGUCUCCCCUCCCCUUCCGGAGAGAAGACUACCGCCAUGUCCUGCCCACUGCUUCACGCACGGUGAGGAGUCGCUCCAGGAUCUUCUUCAGACAUUUAUUGCUCUAUUCUGAUGCUUUUGUGAAAAUAUUUCAUCUUCCAGAAGAUUCACUGGCAGGAUCUUUGGACAAAUAACAGGUCUCUGAUAAAUUUCAGCUUUUCAGAUAUGCAUUGUACACCUGUUCUGGCCACUGAAGAAGGGAAUGCAUCCGAAAGUGAGAAAUGGAGAAGCUGUGUUUCAGACAUCCAAGAUGAGUAUCCAUUGGCUUAAUGCAGCUUUCUUUUCUUUAACAAAUAUUUUCUGAGCCCCACUUUGUGGCAGGCACCAGGCCAGGCCCUAAGUGUUGAGUGAGGAACUACAGAAAGAUUAUUCCUCUUCUCAAUUGACUGGUUUUUCAUAGUAUCUUCCAAAAUCUUCUUUUCAAAAGAUCAUGAAGAAAACAGUUAACUAUGGAGCCAGAUAAAUUGUAAGGUCAUGACUAGGAAUAAACUGGUUCAUACGGCACACUCACUGAUCAAAGAAAGAAUAACUGAAAGCAGCAAGAGGACUCUACCAACUUACCCACACACAUACAACCAGCACCCACAGUAUGUGGAAGAUUCUGGGCCAGGGACAAAACCCAUGCCACAGUUGUGAUCUGCAGCAUAGCUGCAGCAAUGCAGGAUCCUUAACCUACUGCUCCACAAUGGAACUUCCUGGGAUUCCUUAUUCUGAAAGCAAGGAGUUAAGAGCAGCAAAACCACUGCUUGUAACCAUCCCUACUAGAAGAUCAAGAAAACCUGGGUGCCUGGAGCAAGGUUUUGGAAAAUACGGUCAGAGAGAAAGAAGGAGACCCAUAAACCAUGCAGUAAAGAUCCAGGCUUCAUGUACUUGGCCAGACAUCCUGCCUGUGAGCGGUGAGGACCUUCUCAGAGAACCCUUCAAGUGAUGUUUUUCCAGUGUUGGGAAGUACUGAUCUAUUUGUAUUGCCGACAUAAGUCCUUAAGGGAUGGUUAAGAGCAGCACUGAAGGCACUUUGCCCUUUUGCUUUGAUCUGAAAUCAGCAUUAACGAAGGUCUAUCAGAAAUGAACUGCUUAAAUGGUGUUUUCUUAUGUUUAAAGAAAUAACUGGUGGAUUUUUUAAUCAUCAGAUUUUUACACUUG